UACGAAGGGGGCUAGCGUUGUUCGGAUUUACUGGGCGUAAAGCGCACGUAGGCGGAUCGUUAAGUCAGGGGUGAAAUCCCAGAGCUCAACUCUGGAACUGCCUUUGAUACUGUCGAUCUGGAGUAUGGAAGAGGUGAGUGGAAUUCCGAGUGUAGAGGUGAAAUUCGUAGAUAUUCGGAGGAACACCAGUGGCGAAGGCGGCUCACUGGUCCAUUACUGACGCUGAGGUGCGAAAGCGUGGGGAGCAAACAGG
rnacentral:rRNA from 1 species